rnacentral:rRNA from 1 species
CCUACGGGCGGCUGCAGUGGGGAAUAUUGGACAAUGGGCGCAAGCCUGAUCCAGCCACGCCGCGUGAGUGAUGAAGGCCUUCGGGUCGUAAAGCUCUGUGGGGAGAGACGAACCGCCGGUGGUGCAUAGCCAUCGGCAUGACGGUAUCUCCUUAGCAAGCACCGGCUAACUUCGUGCCAGCAGCCGCGGUAAUACGAAGGGUGCAAACGUUGCUCGGAAUUAUUGGGCGUAAAGCGCACGUAGGCGGUCUAUCAAGUCGGAUGUGAAAUCCCUCG